rnacentral:lncRNA from 1 species
GUUCCUGACUUCUGCCAGCAGCACUCGCCGUUUAUCUUCCUCGCACCCAGAAACACACGACUUACAACAGAAAUCUCUCUGGAGUUGCAUUAGAGAUGGUGUGACAAACAAGAGGGACAGCACAAGGGCUGUAAAGGAGAAGCAUCCCGACCUUUGAUCCACCUCUGGUGUUUAAGAGCAAAACAUGAAGGGAAGGCAGGAGAUGUACAAUGUGUCCUUCUCCCAGCACAACCUCACCUGAUCCUUUAAAAUCAGAAAUGGAGAACUAGGAGUUUAUUUAUAUCUCUGAGGAUAUGGCAGUAGUCCUGAGAAGAAAGUCAACAAGUGGGUGAGCCUGAGCUACCCUCUGCAGCAAGUGAGUAUCAAGACAAGGACCAAAAGAAAUUUAUCUUCUGUCAGCCAACUGAAACGAUGUUAGUUUCUGGGUUGAUCAAGAGAGAUCUGGUCUGUCAGGCCUCUUCAAAACAGCUGGGGGGUGGGGGGGAGAGCACAUUGAAGCAAAGAUCUAGCUACAGAGGCACAAGAAUAGGCUGCUUUUAAACUGCUGUGGUUGCAGUUUAUUCUCCGACUAUAUACAACGUUCCCAAUUGAGUGUUUUGAUUCCAUGUGCCCCUGUACAAUUACUCAAACAAAGCUGGCAAUUGUAGCCCUUAAAAUGCAAGACAUAGUUUUGUUUAGAACUUCAGUAGACCUUUUAUUAGCUGUACACAGCAGGGAGUGCAAACCCCUUUUUCAUAAUAAAGAAACAGUUCUAUGCAAAAAGCCACAAGAUGUAAAACUACCAAAUAAUUCUUCUCUACAAAAU